AGCCCCGGUGCAGCCCGGGACUCGCAGCAGCGCCGGGACCGGGCGGGAUGCAUCCCCGGAGGGUCACGGUACAGCCCCGAUGCAGCCCGGGACUCGCAGCAGCGCCGGGACCGGGCGGGAUGCAUCCCGCGAGGGAUCCGGUGCAGCCCCGGUGCAGCCCGGGACUCGCAGCAGCGCCGGGACCGGGGGGAUGCAGUUCCGUUCUGCUCCAGCCGGGUCCUGGCAGCCUCCAUGUGUCGAACCUCUGGUCCAGCGUCCCCACGGGGAAAAAGCUGCUCGCUGUGUCCUGGCAGAACCUCUCCUGCUUCAACUUGCACCCGUUGUCCCUUGUUGCUCGCACCACGCUGCUGAGCCGGGCUCCAUCUCCAUGAUCUCCUCUGCUGAAUUUGCUCCAGCUCGUCCUGUCUUUCUUGCACUGGAGGGGUCAAAACUGGCGCCGGUAUCUGGAUGUUACGCAGCCAGCGCCGAGCAAAGGGGCUCGUUGCUUCCCAGCUCCUGCAAGCGCAGCCUGGGGUACCCUCGGCCCGGGCCAACUGUUAACACCCAUCUGACCUAAAACAUAACGCUGCCACAAAAAUGAGAGACCGUUCAAGCUGCACGUCAGUAUCCAGAUCCAUGUUGGAGGGGAAAGGCACAGGGACAUUUUAAGAAGGAGCUUCAGAAAUUUUCGUAAAGUACUGUAAGACUAUUGUUGGACCUUAAGACCACUGUGGAUUUAGCUCUAUUGCUCACGGUAUCCAGUAUUUUUGAUGCUAAUCACAAUUGCUUUAAAUUCAUGAAGGCUUGCAUGUUUCUCCAAGUGACGUACAAAUAUUAGCUGGACAGUUCUUGCAAACUUCUUGCAGAAAUGCAAUGAAAACAGUCACCUCUACUGGAAAAGCAGAGGAACAGUCUCCUCGUGCAUCAGCAGAGGCUGCUCUGAGGACUUGAAAACAUUUGGGUAGAACUUCAGAUUUUUAGAAAGUUUGCAUAUGCAAAUUAAAGAUGUUUUACCACGGUGGGAGUAGCUAUUACUAUGACUUCUACAUGACUUCUUAAUAAUAAUGAAUAAAUAUACCGAAUAAAGAAUAUGUAAUUGAAAAUACUUUCAGCUUUUUUCAGCCAAACCGUGAAUUACCGUGUUUCAGAACGAGCUGGCCGGUGUCCAGGAGUGUGCAUCGCAGUCACGGUUAAAUCUGUUUCGUGAGGUCCGCUUUGUUUGCCCGACUCCUCCCCAGUGUCCCGUUUGGAAGCGCCGCCAGCCGAAGCCGCCCCCGGGAGCGACGCGGCCGCGCCGCCCGUUCGAGGGGAGGGAAGCCGGGGGCGGGGAGCUCGAUCAGCCACCAGGAGCUCCGGGUCCUGCGGGAGCUCCAUUUGUCUGGAAACCGGGUCUCACGAGCCUGUCCUGCUUCCUGCUUCAACGGAACCGAGUACCUGCCCCGGCACGGCCCCUGCCCAGCUCCUGGUUACGCCCCCCUCCCACUGAAACCAUCAGGUAAAUUUGAUACAAGCUCUUGAUGCUUCGGGUCUACAAAGACAAAGCAGAUGAGAAGGAGAACCGAGUUUUAUCCAAAAUCACGAGCACUGCCAAACGGGAUAGUGGUGUCCUGAGGAACUACGUACAGAUGGGAGGAGUGUUCAUCUGAGAACUGUCUUCAAACGAACGCAGUAAUGGAGUGCGAGUCCCCGGGUAAUCGCCACACGCACACAGAGCUGCCCAGUCCACGGCCAACCCAGCCAAAACCAGAGCUCGGAUCUUGCAGUGAGACACAGCGUUUCACAACACGGUUUAUUGAGCCAGAGCUACUCAGAGGCACUCCAGUCUUCCAGAAAUACCCCAGUAUAUUGUAUGCAUCUCUCAACAGGCGUGCGGUGAACUUAAACACAUCAUGAGAACGGCGGGGCAGCUCCAGGAUCAACUGAGCGAGAGAAAGAGCCCCUGUUCGUCUGAGGCUGGCCUGGAGUAUCCGGAAGCAUUUGUUGAGAGAGGUUUAAAUAUUCAAGUACUAUUUUAAAAAAUCACACAUGAGAAAAUGAUUUUGGCACGAUGCAUUUCGCAGGAUCCGCAGCGAUGUGUCCCGGGUGCGUUUCUGAACUGUCGGAGAGCCCAGCGCGCUGCAGUGGCAGCCUCUAAUUAAUCCACCGAGUGCCAUUAAUCCAGCUGCCGAUGCGUGCGUCCUGCCUGCGUAACCAACCCUUUGGAAGCAGCACCUCGCAACGGGGCGUAAUGAGGUGGCUGCACGAGAUACCUGGUAUCAUUUUUAAAGGGCAUGUUUAUAUGUGAAAGCCAAUAUAUAUCACAUUAAGGAGGUGUAUAUUUAGCACAUUAGCUUUCUGGAGGACAAUUUUCUACGUUCAAUUGAAACCUCUUUAUAUUUAUGUAAAUUCAUUAACUCUUCUAUACACAAGUCUAUGUGGAAUUCUUGCUCUAGCUGUGAUUUCUUUCUUCCUGGCGCUCCCUGGUCCCACACAGCAUCACUCGACGCUCCUCAUCCCCACUGACUUGUUUCUGAGUCAUCUUCAGAAUUUUCUGCCAAGUUUUUAGCAUCAUAAAUUUGGUUCCUCUGACUUAAUUCUUCCAAGAUAAGUUUUCUUUUUGUUGUUGAUGAGAUGAAAUUUGUAACAUCAAAUCUUCCAUGUGGAUGCUACAUCUUAUGGAGACGAUUGUUGUGCACACAAAGGUUGUGCUGGGAUUUUCUGGUGAAUGUUCCCAGUUACAAAUCCUGUUGUCCAGAAAUGCAAGAGGCUAAAAUGAAUUCAACUCAGCAUUCAGUCAGCCACAAAACACGUCUGUUUAAAUCUACUCGGCUGCAUGGGGGAUUUCUGAAGCAUGUCAAAUUUCUUUGUAGUGAAGUCACUACACUUCAUGGUUUAAACCAUUCACAGGUUUUAGUUAUUCCCUUUAUUAAAGCUGUAUUCCAAUGAUCUAACCAGCCUGAGCAUGUCCCUUGUUAAAGCUGUAUCAAUAACCUUACCUCUGUGUGCCCUGUUCGAAUCACCUGUAAGCAUAUGAAGACAUUAUUCUAUGUGGCACCUGUCACACAUUGUGCACACAGAUGGCAGUGGUUGUAGCCCCACCAGCGUUGCCUCGAGGGAGCAGUCACGGUGUAACCACAAGGGCUCAACCAGGUGUCAUUCUUUGGGCUAACAGACAACCGAGCCCAGGAUGUAUCCAAGCAUUAAUUCUCAGCCCUGUUGCUGUAGGGUUCAAGCGCAUCCAGGAAACCGUUUCCUGAACCAGAACUAAAGGGCCGCAAAUAAGAUCCACCAAGGAGUUCUGCUUUGAUACAAAAAUACAUUUUCUCCUUCAAUUGCAACUGGAGUUAUUCCCUUGAGAAGCCCAGCCUGAGAGGAGAUUCAAGAUAUCAGACACUUGUUGCUUCCAAAAAUCAGUUUAGAAGUGAAGAAAAUUGAAUACUUGAAAAGCAAGCUAGAAUGAGAAGGAACGUUUGUCCUUUAUGGGAGGCCCGAUCCUUUUCUCAUUUACAUUUGUGUCAGGAUGGGAAAUUCUGCCUCGUCAUCAGCUUUUUGUCUGUUCUGAAGUCCAGUGAAACUAGAGAUAAAACACUGCAUUUCAGUAUAAAAGUAUAACCCUCUUUGCCUAGAACACGAUUGUGAUUCCACAGUAUUUGCGGGAUUUUGGAUUAAUUUGACUGUACAUAACGACUCUCGACACGAGGAAGCAUUCUCGGUGCCUUGGCCGUCAGCAAGCGUUGCUCCAUUGACUUCGUUUUCAGCAGUCAGCUCCCCAACUCUCCUCUGUAAAAUGGAUGGAUGGUUUCAUUUGGGUUGGUUUGGUCUGCAGAGCUAAAUAAUCCAGUUCUUAUACCCCUGUGGAUAGAAUCAAAGCCUCUCAAGUCAAAGAGGGUGAUUAAGGCUUAGAGCACACAGAUAAGCCUGUUACAGCAGAUGGGAUCUGCUCCCAGUAACACUUACAGAAUCUGCUCUUAUAACACCUGAUAGGUGUUCAUCGGAUCUGCUUCCAGGGCAUCUUAUUUACCGCCGGGGACCAAAGCCAAAUGCAGCUCAGACAUUUUCCUAUUAUUUAAAACUUUAAGAACAUAUUAGCAAUCGAAUUACUAUCCACCUAAUGGCUUUGGGGUAGCCUGUUAGUCAAUGCAAAAAGUGCCUGUAUAUAAGAAAAUCUAGCAGCUUUCCUUUAAAAACAUUUGAAGAAAUGGAACUGCUGGGUGGCCCAGCACGGCUGACCCGCCAAGGUCGGCACGGAUCCCGGUUCCGCCGCUGUCCCGCGUUCCGUGCUGUGCCGCUCCCCGUCACUCCAGGAAGGCUGCUCACUAGUUGUACUUUGGUGGCUUUCAAAUACAUUUACAGUUUUAGCUAAUUAAUAAAAGUAUUUUUCAAAAUGUCUGAGUGGAGGUAGACAAAAGAAAAUAGACAUGAAAACUCUCCUUGAUGGUGCCUUUCAAAGACCAAUGUAUAGAAUAAUUCCACAGGGAACUAUAGAAAGCUAAUGACUGAUAUACAUCACACUGUGUUUUAAAAGUACCCAGAGUGUGAAGAAAAUCCAAAAAGGGAACGGACAAAGAAACAGGGAAUAAGCUAUCUAGCAUACAAGCACAUCUCGGAAAACAGUCAAGUAACAUCUGCUUUCAAAUGGUCAGAUGGUAGCGAUUCACCAGAAGUCAGGAAGCAAUGUCUGACUGCAGAGGGGCACACGGUGCGGAGAGCGGGGCCGACUCAGCUCUGCUUCCCUGCGGUCAGCUUUUCAUGCCCUGACCGCAGGAAAUGUGAUCAAAACCAUGAUGUCCAGAUUACUGACUCAGAAAACAGAACAUGCACGCAGUAGCAGCAGAAUGCUGCCACAGUCUGUAAGGCGUGCUGAGCAGAGCGGUGUGUUCUCUGAUCCACAGCAUUUCCUGCAGCAGCUGUUGGUGCUGCGCAGGCUGGCCCGUCACACACACCCCGUGCGGUCACCGUGAGGCUGACCACGUCAAGCGGCCCCUGCGAGCUCAACGACCAGAAGCACCUGGUCACUUCUAUGCUGUACCCAUUUAAAUCUAGAUCUACAGUUCUCACUUUCCCUUCCCAAAUGUGCCUCUGAGAUUCCUUGUAGCUUAAAAAAAAAAAAAAAGGUGUUUUUUUCACUGUACACACAUUAGCAUAUUAUGAAAGAAAUAAUUAGCAUAUCAAAUGCUGGAGAUCAAUUAGCUGCCAAAGCACCAGUCUAGACACGAGCAUCUGACACUUGCAAUAAAAUCAAACCAGGCUGGCCAAGUGCUGCUGCUCACUCAGCGUGGCUUCUCAGAACGGAGCCGCGAACGUUCAUUCAUUACCCUCCGCACCAGCAGUGCCGGAGCUGAUUAGCAUCUGCUUCCAUUUACUGCUAUUGUUGAGCCAAACCCUAAAUGAGUUCACAGAUUCGGUGGCUACUCGUUUAUUGUCUGUGGCUACUGGCGGUGCGGUUCCAUCCCCCGCUGCCGCGCGGUCCCAGCACCGCCGCGCUCGCUCCCGAGCUGCCCCGGAGCGGCCGGGGAGGGCUCCGCCGCCCAGACCCGCCCAGCAGGCAGCGGAUCCCGGGGAGCGCCAGGGGUGCGCUCCGGGGGCGCCGCAGUCAGAGCCGAGCGGUUCUGCUGGGUCAGCACUCUUGCAGGUUUUGGAGGAGUCUGAAGAUGAUUUAACUCGUGACGAUGAAACAGGCCCAGAACACUGCGCUGCACAAAGAAGAGAUCAAAUAGCCUUGCCCUCAAAAGCAGCACUAGAAACUGUGAGAGCUGCGGUGCCUCGGCGAGCCGAGGGCGAACAGCCCGAGGCAGUACAUGGCCAGGGAGCAGCCAAUACAGCACACCCGCAGCUGAGCACCUCAUCCCGCAGCCUCCCCGGAGACCCUCCUGUGCCUAAAAGAGAGCAGGAAGCCCUUUCUUUUAAAGGAAAUCCAAUUAAAUCAGAAGUCAAAUCUCUGCUCUGAAUUCACCACACAGUUGUACAUCAAAUGCUUCUGACAGUCAAGAUUCUUCCUUCAGCACUGAAGCUUUGCCUUCUCUGAAAAACUUCCUCUGCUUUUGCCUUAAUCCACAGUUCCAGUGAUGGCUCAAAACCCCAUUUACUUCUGUGGGACAAUAACCUUUUAGGUACCGUUAUCAAAUUUCAAUUUGCAAAUACUUUUUAAUAUGGAGUCAUAUUAUAUGACCAUGCAUUCAGGAGACGAAGCGGCUGUCUGCGACUGGAAUUCUGUCCCUGUGUUAAAGCACAGACAAUUCAGUAAAGAAACUGCACACAGUGGUUUAGCAAUAGCUUUAGUCACCUCAAACAGGGAAAAGCCGGCAAAAGCUGGAGCUCUCUAUGGCUUGGUGACUCCGCGACUCCCAGGAAAUCUGCUCCAGCACACAGAGUGUUUCUCGCACCACUUUCCACUUCAUCCAAAGAACAAACAGCGGUUCAGCACAGAAACUUACCAUUGGUUUUAUAGGCUCUGUUUGGAACUGUAUCUCUGCAGGAUGCUGAGAAACAAUAAAGACUAAUCUCCAAUUCCCAGCUGGAGAACUUUCUGAAAAGACUAGUCCUACAAAUUGACUACUUUGGGAAAAUAAUUCUGUUUCCACCCUUUAUUAAAAUGUGCAGUGCCCAUGUUUUUAUUUGUACAGGUUGCAGACCCACCAUACCAUCCUAUGUGACUGCCCUGUGUGUGUUUUCAGUGUUAUGUGCUGAUUCUACCACUACAAAGUAUAAAGAUGAGUUAGUCCUGGCACUGCCCAGCUCCCGGGUGUGUGCAAAGGAAGAGCACUACAACGGCUGCCCGGGGAGUCCCGGGCUCACUCAGCCUUUGCUCCCGAGGUUCCACCUGUGGCUCUCGGACAGGCGGCACCUUCCCAGCGUUAGAGCAGCAGGUGCCUGCGCACCUCACGCAGCCGCACGAGGGGGUUGGUGUAGGAGCCUUCCAGCAGAAAUAGGCCAUACCUGGAACCUCACAAAGAUUCCUUCUGUGAUUUUCAAAGGAAUUUAUGAAGGACAGCUAAUUUAUACUUCUGUCUUGUGCUUAAGAUACACUAACAUGCACCCUAUACCCUAAGAAAGCCAAACCGGAGCGGGUAUGGACACCUGGAGGAACGGAAGGCAGUGCAGAAUGGAUUCGUUUCUUGUAUGAUUAGAAAUGUUGAGGGGCGGGGGGAAGGAACAGAUGCAUUUCAGUUUCACUUGCUGUUGUCAUUAGUGCGGAUUCAAUGUAAUAAUUAUAAUUCAGGUAAUCUAAAUUCAAAGACAUCAGCCUAGUAAGAAAACACAUGAAUAUAUUGAUAACUUAGACAUUUUGAGUGAAAUCAUCUAUUACUUGUCAAGAAUUGAGAAACUCCUAAACAUCUGCACUAAGCUCAGAAAUAAUACCACAAAUCGCUAAGAAUUCCCCGAAUGUCCAUUUCAUUGGUUUGUGUUUAAUUUGCAGCAUAUGAGUUUUUAUGCUAGCAGUUGUAUAAAAUCAACAGUUAGGAGCACAGACAGUGACGUUCACAGAAGCACACGCAGACAGCGCAGCCGUGUAACAACGUAAUCCAUUUUAAAGAAAGAGAAGAAAAAACCCAAACACCUGGCACAAUUUCAAAAACAUAACGUGUUCUGUGCGGCUGGAAGAAGCAUUUAUUAUUUAUACUACGGAGGCUCUUCAUUCAUAUCUACCGACACGUUUGCCGUCAGGAAUGAGAUGGACUAGCGAGACAACAGCCCAGGCACUUCUUUCUCUCCACUGCGUUUCCAGUGCAGCGGCGCUCGGGGCGGCCGCUCUCGCUCUCCCUCCGCAGCCGGACAGCGGUGUGAGAGGCGCGGUAAGGAAUGCUUGCACUAAGCUGGUGGAUGUUAUGUCACACUGUAAUUUCUGGAUUUGGAUGCAUAUCUGAGGUUAAAUGCUAGAAAUACAUUUAAGCCUGCCAGGGUAGGCUGGGGUCAUGAAUAAUGUAUCGCAUUCUACAACAGAGGAGCCACCAUAGAGCCUUUCACUUCUGCCCAUUUAACUGCUGGUCCAACACACCGAGCGUGAAUUAUUCCCACAAAACGCUGUCUGUGGAUUUGCCUGCGCACACGGGGCCAGCGGCUGUCCGGGGCACCAGUGGGCACAGGCCAGCAGUAUAAAUGGCCACCAAACCCGCAGAACACCACCUCGUUGUUUUAAAAUCUGCCUGCAUAAUUUAUGUCACACUGCUGUCAGCCACACCAAUCAAAUACCUGCACUACAAUCACGGCCGUACUCACAUGCACAGAAAAUAAUGUUUCAAGAAAUUGCUGAGAACAAUUCAGCUCUCUCUUUGUGGAGAUGAUCGUUGUGGAAAAGCACUCGUCAUCUCACCUGGUUAAUCUUUACCCUAUUUCACAUUGUAAAAAUGCAAAUUCCCCUUUGACCCUUAGGACAGUACUGGAGUACACCAACUUCUGUACAAAUCUUUUAUUCUAUUUCGAACAAUUUCUGCAUCUACAUCUCAAACUACAACAAGGGCAGCCUUGCCCCAGCUGCUUCCCAGCACCCCUUUCCGCCUCAGGGCUCCCUGAACACGGAGAGCUCCUCUCUGUGCACAGCUCAAAUUACCCAUCCGAGAAGCCCUAACAUCUCGUUUGCUGAGGGGUCUAACCCCAGGAUGUGUUCAAGACAUCCUGCGGCCAGGAUAAUACAGAGCUGCUGUCUCUGUUGUAAGAUACAUCUGUGUAUUUUCAUACAUGUAUUUUAAUCAUGGCCUGGAGAUCAGAAAACUCAGAAAACAAAAGGUUCAACACUACAGUAGCUUCGGUGUCACGGGCUGUGACUGUAAUUUAAAGGUUCCUCUGUACCCGCCCGGGAGUGCUGAGCAGAGCUCACAGAUCGGUCCAUCGCGGGUCCCACUGCAGCUGCACUGGAGCCUGGCACGGUAACGCUCCGGUGACAAGCGGUGUGUCUCAGGGGUCCGUACCGGGACCAGCACCAUUUAACAUCCUCAUCAAUACACAGACAGUGGGACCGAGGGCACCCUCAGCAAGCUGGCAGGUGACACCGAGCUGGGUGGUGCGGUCGACAGGCCUGAGGGCCGGGAUCCACCCACAGGGACCUGGACAAGCUGCAGAAGUGGGGCCAUGUGAGCCUCAGGAGGUUCAACAAGGCCAAGCGCCAGGUCCCGGGGCCAGGGCAGCCCCCGGUGUGAACACAGGCUGGGACGAAGGGCUUGAGGGCAGCCCUGUGGGGACGGACCGGGGCAUGCUGGCGCAUGGAAGGCCGGACAUGAGCCGGCAACGUGCGCCUGCAACCCAGUCGUGUCUUGGGCUGUAUCACGAGGAUCCUGCCCCUCUGCACUACAGGUGUAUCGCGCCAGGUCUCCUCCCCUGCUUCUCCAGAUUUUGUUUUCAUUGCCUAUAAAAAGUUACUCUGACAAUUAAGACUAUGGCAACAUAAACCUCCAACAUUAAUCUAUCGAUCUACUAAUAUUCAAAUCUAUUAGAAAGGGAAAGAAAUAGCUCGCCUUGCCUGAGAGCCCAGCUCAAUAGUCAGGACUUGCUGCGUUUCUAAGAAGUCUCUACUGCUGCAGAAUGCCAUCAGGAGACAGACAGCAUCCUAGACACGUCUCAGGAUGUAUUUUUUCCUGUUUGUUCAAUUUCAGAAAACAGAUAUACUUCCCUUAGAACAAAUCUAUCAUGGAAAAAUCCAUAAGACUAAAAGAAUUUCAUUGUUUUGUCAAUAUUUCAAAAGAGUAAAUAGUGUGACUGUUACUGUUUUGAGUCAUCCACCUCAAUAUUGAUUUCAAGGAAAAUAAUGCAAUAUCUGAUGGAAGAUUAUUACUUACUCUAAAAGGAUUAAUUCUGUUUCAUAGUACUCGACAGGUUUGGGGGAAGAUAGGUCCCGUCACAUCAAACACUCCCACUAACAAAUGACAGCAGCUCUUAACAACAUAUUUCUGAGCAUGUUCAAGCUUUGAACUCAGUACUACACAAGCUUCUCAUUCUGAGAAACAGGAACGCUCAGAAGUUCUGUGGCAAUAUCAACUUGGAAAAUACUUUCUUGAUACUACAUUUCUUAAUAAGUAAUGGUCAAUUAUUUAGGGUGAAAAGCUACCUAGAGCCCUGAUUCUCAGCCCACGCGUAAUGUAUUCCUUUACUACGAAUACAGAACUAAAGCUGUGCAUGUUUGCAAAAGGAGUAAGGAUGCACAGAACAGACAAGGGUGAGCAAUACCAGAACAGAAGAGGUGGCUUGGUAAGCUGGGCUCAAGGGUUCUGAACAGCCACGUACAAACUCGCGGUGUUGAAAUGAAACACUAAUCCCUGACUCUUCAAAGGACCUAAACAUUGUCAAUGGUCAGUAUAUUAAUAUGAGUUACCAAUACACAAGUUGAGAAAACAGCUGAAAUUUAUGAUCUGUAGCUUUGUAGAGAAACAUAUUAGCUGUUCAUUAUUCUAAAUGUUACUACUUGUAAAAUCUAUAAGUAACAAGUGCUGCAGAAAUCAUUUGAGCUGAGUUUCCCCUGUGUAAUCUCAUAAUAGGUUACAUCAAUCACAAUGCUGCUGCUGCCAUUAUUGACACGUUUGUAAAUUGGAGUUUGUUCUUUAAAGCUUCUGCAAUUCUGACUUUGAUACCUGGAGCAUAUCAAGAAAAAAUCCAUAGCAGACAGCCAUGGGCUUGUCGGAUUUCGCACAUUUGAUUUGAAGCAAAGCUGCAAUGGGCUUGAUCAAUGAUGUAAUAUGCUGAACCAGGACACAACUAUGAACAACACCACUCGCAUUUAUAUAAAUAAACUUCCACAGUUUUCUAAGUAAAAUUACAGACCUGUAAGAGCAGAAACUUACCGAGGCAAGUGAAGCCAGCGUGCCCGCGCAUCACUUCUCCGUAAACAGCGCCGGCCUUGGUGCAGCGCGGCCUCUCACAGCGAGAAACAAACGCCUUUCUAAUUGUCACGGCGAGAGGCAGAAGGAGAAACAAUGCUGUUCAUUAAACCUUCCCUACUUCAUUUUUACAGGGAUUCUUUGACCCAGUCAAGUACAACAGAAAAGCUAAGUAUCACUGUCACUAUUAUUCAGUUUUAAGAUUACCAACGAAAACAACGUUGCAGAUUUUGCAUUGGAUUGAUGAAAGGAUGCACAGCUAUUUUCUGGCACAUUUAUGGCAUAAAGGGAAAGAAAUACAGAUUGGAAGACCAAGGUCUGCAAUUUGCAAUUGGAAAGCAGCAAUGGACUAAAGAAUUAGGAAAAAAAGCACUUUCAAACCCUGAAGGUUGUUUGGAAGCAUCUUUCUGGUGAUAUUUCAUAUCAUAGCAGAUAAUUGGAACAAUGACACAAAGCCAGUCUGUUCCUUUUCCUGGGCACAGGAUACAAUGUGCAGCAGUAACGUUUAAAGAGCGGAUCACAGGAUUCUCAUCUUCCAUUGUAGGAAGAGGCUAAAGGGAUUUGCCGUCUCUAGUGGCUUCUCCAUGUUUGCUAAUUCUAUUACCCGAGCUCUGCCAGAAAUGAUGCGCAACACCAGCUCCCGCGGCGGGGCGACGCUUGUCCCUGCAGCCCCGCCGCAGCCGCAGCGUGCCGGCUCCCUGAGCGCGUGUCCCAGGCACGCCGCCCUGCGCGAGCCCUCCCGCCCCCCUUACCGCCCCUGUGCUCCCCGGGGCCAAGGGCCAACCGCCACUAUUCUGUGCACGGCACCCAAACCCGUCCGCUUCAGCGCAGCGCUGGCGGUUAUGGAAGUGUCUUCGGUACGUGGAAAAGCAGACGGCUGAUUGAUAAGGAAACUGUAACCCAUGGAAAUGUUAAUCUCAUGAACUGGAAAAAAAAGGAAAAAAGAUAAAAACUGUAUGGCAUUAAUCUCAUGAAGAGAUAGAUUCUAAAUUAUACGUUUUAUUAUCCUAUGGAGAUUUAUACUCCCAUUAUCUCUUACACCCACAUGAGAUAAAGCAAGUGUAAAUCUGUCUUGCUCCAUGCAGGGAACUUCAUAAUACUGUAUUAGAGAGGUGAUUAUUCUAUCCCCACAUCUCAUAACACUGUUUUCUUCACAACCAGAACCACUCUCAUUUAAUAUUAAGACAGAUGUUUGACUGAGAUUGACUGUGGAUAUGUGCUGAAACUAUAAAUGAAAAAACAUAUGAAUAAAUAUUGACAUGUACAUUAA